rnacentral:sRNA from 12 species
GACCCUGACCCUCGAAUUGUCACCGGACGGUGCGCGUUCCAAACUAACGUUUGGAUAGAGACAGGGUCGUUU